rnacentral:lncRNA from 1 species
GAUGGCUGUUGGUCACGAGCCACGGUGUAUAAAGGCAGGGGUUGGAGGAACUGGGCAUUCAUUCUUCCACAAUGAAGGCUGCGUUUCUGAUUCUCCUUGUUUCUGUUCUGCUCAUUGGGGCGGCGUUUGUCGCUGAUGCCCAGUGCGGUGGCAGUUGCCACAACGACCACGACUGUAGCAGUAACUGCAACAGCCAUUGUCACAACGGAUUCCACUGCAACAGACAUCCAGAUCAAUCCUCUGGGACGUGUUCGUGUAGUUAAUGAUGUACCCUGGGAAGAGAUGCUGAAAAGGCUGUCACCUUGUACUAUGGGUCAAUAAAUUUCAUGAACGAA